UCUAAGGGAUAGUUAGUGGCGAAAGGGUUAGUAACGGAUAGGUAACUUACCUCCUGCUUCGGAAUAGUGUCAGUAGCUUCGGCUACUUUCCGAAAGGGGCAUUAAUACCGAAUAAUAUCAUGAAUCGAUAGAUUUAUGAUCAAAGAUUUAUCGGCUGGAGAGCGGCCUAUCUCCUAUCAGCUAGUUGGUGUGGUAAUGGCUCACCAAGGCUUUGACGGGUAGCGGGACUGAGAGGUUGACCAGCCACACUGGGACUGAGACACGGCCCANACUCCUACGGGAGGCAGCAGUGGGGAAUAUUGCGCAAUGGGCGAAAGCCUGACGCACGACACCGCGUGGGGGAGGAAGGCCUCANGGUCUAAACCCCUGUCANGUGGACAAAUCCCNUANUGGCAAUANCUUACNAUUACGUCCCCNAAGAACUCNCUACUCCU
rnacentral:rRNA from 1 species